rnacentral:rRNA from 1 species
UUCCGGUUGAUCCCGCCGGACCUGACUGCUAUCGGAUUGAUACUAAGCCAUGCGAGUCAUUGUAGCAAUACAAGGCAUACGGCUCAGUAACGCGUAGUCAACCUAACCUAUGGACGGGAAUAACCUCGGGAAACUGAGAAUAAUGCCCGAUAGAACAUUAUGCCUGGAAUGGUUUAUGUUCCAAAUGAUUUAUCGCCGUAGGAUGGGACUGCGGCCUAUCAGUUUGUUGGUGAGGUAAUGGCCCACCAAGACUAUUACAGGUACGGGCUCUGAGAGGAGUAGCCCGGAGAUGGGUACUGAGACACGGACCCAGGCCCUAUGGGGCGCAGCAGGCGAGAAAACUUUGCAAUGUGCGAAAGCACGACAAGGUUAAUCCGAGUGAUUUGUGCUAAACGAAUCUUUUGUUAGUCCUAGAAACACUAACGAAUAAGGGGUGGGCAAGUUCUGGUGUCAGCCGCCGCGGUAAAACCAGCACCUCAAGUGGUCAGGAUGAUUAUUGGGCCUAAAGCAUCCGUAGCCGGCUCUGUAAGUUUUCGGUUAAAUCUGUACGCUUAACGUACAGGCUGCCGGGAAUACUGCAGAGCUAGGGAGUGGGAGAAGUAGACGGUACUCGGUAGGAAGUGGUAAAAUGCUUUGAUCUAUCGAUGACCACCUGUGGCGAAGGCGGUCUACUAGAACACGUCCGACGGUGAGGGAUGAAAGCUGGGGGAGCAAACCGGAUUAGAUACCCGGGUAGUCCCAGCUGUAAACUAUGCAAACUCAGUGAUGCAUUGGCUUGUGGCCAAUGCAGUGCUGCAGGGAAGCCGUUAAGUUUGCCGCCUGGGAAGUACGUACGCAAGUAUGAAACUUAAAGGAAUUGGCGGGGGAGCACCACAAGGGGUGAAGCCUGCGGUUCAAUUGGAGUCAACGCCGGG